UCUCACAAAGAAUAAUGGUCAUAGAAAAAAAAAAAAGAAAAAAGGAAAAAAAGAAAAAUAGAGAAGAGGCCCAUGUUGGGUGUU
rnacentral:ribozyme from 13 species